rnacentral:lncRNA from 1 species
UUUCUUGUUUCACCUAGCAACAAAACAUCUCGUGUCAUCUGAUUUCUUAUGUUGAAAUAUCUUUGCAUUUCUGGAAUACAUUGGGUUUUUAGAGUGUGAUGUGUAUGACUUGGUGUGGUAUAUUGUACUUUUAGCAUGUAGCUGAAUUUAAUUUGCUCACAUUAUAUUUUGCAUUUUGAGUCUACUUUUACAGUAAGGUUUAUACAUGGCUUUCUUUUUGUAGUUUAUAAUUAAGGUUUUCUGGCUGUAAAAAUCUAUUGGGAAUUUUGAAAUUUAUCAUUACCAUUUGUAACAGUUUUGAUAGGAUAUAAAUAAUACAUUCUCAAAGAUUUUUCUAGAAUCUCCAUAAAGACACCUGGAUCCAUGGGCAUUACUAUUAACAACUUUUUACAUUGUAUAGUAUAAUUCAUUAACAACUUUCUAUGCCGAUUUUAGUACUACUGUCUACUUAGGUUUUCUACUUCAUCUGGUGUUAGAUUUGAUAACUUAGUUUGCCUAAAAUAUUAGCAACAAUUUCAAGAUAUUUUGCAAAGAGUUAUAUAUUUUAUCAUAAAAAAAACCCAAGACUGUGAAUCAGGCUCAAGUUGAGGAGAAAUAGCCAGCCCUUACGGGUUUGGUACAGACCUCACUCUCUGAGUUUGAGAAUAAAGUAAGGUUAUAAUAGAAAAUCUCUUUCUAACUUUUAUCAGAAACAAUUUUCAUGAAGUAAACUGAGAAUGUCAUCUGCUCAAUUCUGAUUACAUUUUCCCUAACUGAGGGGGUAAUGGAAAACAUCACAUUUAAUCCUUUGUCUAAAAGGGCUCACAUGCUGGGUGCGAUUUUCCUGGGUGAUGAAGAAUACAACGUGUGGACUGCAGCUCAGAGAGUCCACAAGCAAGACCAGCACAGUAUCUCAGCCGCAUCAGUCCAUGCAGUCUUCUGGAGAUUGCAAUGGAGAAUCCACUACCACACAUCUGUCCUCACCUGAGAGGGCCCUGGAAGUAGGACAUGGAGGAAGACGGACACAGUUCAGGCAGUAAAGCUUGGGUGUACACCAAGAAGGGUGCCUGGGCUCUUGUUUUCAGAUCUGUAGAGCAAGACAAACAGAACUACCUAUGGAGGAGAAGAAAGGAGUCUGAAAAGCUAUCUGGGUUUAAAAAUCAAAGUCACCCAGGAACUUAGUGUUGCAGGUAAGGCUGAAAACAGUCUUCCUCCUUCUCUUCUUUUUGUUUCUCUAGCGUUUCACAGCAUCUGCAAUUUUAUUUCCUGCUGAGCUAGAUGACGAAUUUACAAAGAAAAACAGAUAGUUCUACAAAUUGUCAAAUAUUAUGCAUUAUGAUAGUUUUAAUGACUUCGUGAC